rnacentral:rRNA from 1 species
GGGUUGUGAGGUUAAGCGACUAAGCGUACACGGUGGAUGCCCUGGCAGUCAGAGGCGAUGAAGGACGUGCUAAUCUGCGAUAAGCGUCGGUAAGGUGAUAUGAACCGUUAUAACCGGCGAUUUCCGAAUGGGGAAACCCAGUGUGUUUCGACACACUAUCAUUAACUGAAUCCAUAGGUUAAUGAGGCGAACCGGGGGAACUGAAACAUCUAAGUACCCCGAGGAAAAGAAAUCAACCGAGAUUCCCCCAGUAGCGGCGAGCGAACGGGGAGCAGCCCAGAGCCUGAAUCAGUGUGUGUGUUAGUGGAAGCGUCUGGAAAGGCGCGCGAUACAGGGUGACAGCCCCGUACACAAAAAUGCACAUGCUGUGAGCUCGAUGAGUAGGGCGGGACACGUGGUAUCCUGUCUGAAUAUGGGGGGACCAUCCUCCAAGGCUAAAUACUCCUGACUGACCGAUAGUGAACCAGUACCGUGAGGGAAAGGCGAAAAGAACCCCGGCGAGGGGAGUGAAAAAGAACCUGAAACCGUGUACGUACAAGCAGUGGGAGCACAGAGCAAUCUGUGUGACUGCGUACCUUUUGUAUAAUGGGUCAGCGACUUAUAUUCUGUAGCAAGGUUAACCGAAUAGGGGAGCCGAAGGGAAACCGAGUCUUAACUGGGCGUUAAGUUGCAGGGUAUAGACCCGAAACCCGGUGAUCUAGCCAUGGGCAGGUUGAAGGUUGGGUAACACUAACUGGAGGACCGAACCGACUAAUGUUGAAAAAUUAGCGGAUGACUUGUGGCUGGGGGUGAAAGGCCAAUCAAACCGGGAGAUAGCUGGUUCUCCCCGAAAGCUAUUUAGGUAGCGCCUCGUGAAUUCAUCUCCGGGGGUAGAGCACUGUUUCGGCAAGGGGGUCAUCCCGACUUACCAACCCGAUGCAAACUGCGAAUACCGGAGAAUGUUAUCACGGGAGACACACGGCGGGUGCUAACGUCCGUCGUGAAGAGGGAAACAACCCAGACCGCCAGCUAAGGUCCCAAAGUCAUGGUUAAGUGGGAAACGAUGUGGGAAGGCCCAGACAGCCAGGAUGUUGGCUUAGAAGCAGCCAUCAUUUAAAGAAAGCGUAAUAGCUCACUGGUCGAGUCGGCCUGCGCGGAAGAUGUAACGGGGCUAAACCAUGCACCGAAGCUGCGGCAGCGACGCUUAUGCGUUGUUGGGUAGGGGAGCGUUCUGUAAGCCUGUGAAGGUGUGCUGUGAGGCAUGCUGGAGGUAUCAGAAGUGCGAAUGCUGACAUAAGUAACGAUAAAGCGGGUGAAAAGCCCGCUCGCCGGAAGACCAAGGGUUCCUGUCCAACGUUAAUCGGGGCAGGGUGAGUCGACCCCUAAGGCGAGGCCGAAAGGCGUAGUCGAUGGGAAACAGGUUAAUAUUCCUGUACUUGGUGUUACUGCGAAGGGGGGACGGAGAAGGCUAUGUUGGCCGGGCGACGGUUGUCCCGGUUUAAGCGUGUAGGCUGGUUUUCCAGGCAAAUCCGGAAAAUCAAGGCUGAGGCGUGAUGACGAGGCACUACGGUGCUGAAGCAACAAAUGCCCUGCUUCCAGGAAAAGCCUCUAAGCAUCAGGUAACAUCAAAUCGUACCCCAAACCGACACAGGUGGUCAGGUAGAGAAUACCAAGGCGCUUGAGAGAACUCGGGUGAAGGAACUAGGCAAAAUGGUGCCGUAACUUCGGGAGAAGGCACGCUGAUAUGUAGGUGAAGUCCCUCGCGGAUGGAGCUGAAAUCAGUCGAAGAUACCAGCUGGCUGCAACUGUUUAUUAAAAACACAGCACUGUGCAAACACGAAAGUGGACGUAUACGGUGUGACGCCUGCCCGGUGCCGGAAGGUUAAUUGAUGGGGUUAGCGGUAACGCGAAGCUCUUGAUCGAAGCCCCGGUAAACGGCGGCCGUAACUAUAACGGUCCUAAGGUAGCGAAAUUCCUUGUCGGGUAAGUUCCGACCUGCACGAAUGGCGUAAUGAUGGCCAGGCUGUCUCCACCCGAGACUCAGUGAAAUUGAACUCGCUGUGAAGAUGCAGUGUACCCGCGGCAAGACGGAAAGACCCCGUGAACCUUUACUAUAGCUUGACACUGAACAUUGAGCCUUGAUGUGUAGGAUAGGUGGGAGGCUUUGAAGUGUGGACGCCAGUCUGCAUGGAGCCGACCUUGAAAUACCACCCUUUAAUGUUUGAUGUUCUAACGUUGACCCGUAAUCCGGGUUGCGGACAGUGUCUGGUGGGUAGUUUGACUGGGGCGGUCUCCUCCUAAAGAGUAACGGAGGAGCACGAAGGUUGGCUAAUCCUGGUCGGACAUCAGGAGGUUAGUGCAAUGGCAUAAGCCAGCUUGACUGCGAGCGUGACGGCGCGAGCAGGUGCGAAAGCAGGUCAUAGUGAUCCGGUGGUUCUGAAUGGAAGGGCCAUCGCUCAACGGAUAAAAGGUACUCCGGGGAUAACAGGCUGAUACCGCCCAAGAGUUCAUAUCGACGGCGGUGUUUGGCACCUCGAUGUCGGCUCAUCACAUCCUGGGGCUGAAGUAGGUCCCAAGGGUAUGGCUGUUCGCCAUUUAAAGUGGUACGCGAGCUGGGUUUAGAACGUCGUGAGACAGUUCGGUCCCUAUCUGCCGUGGGCGCUGGAGAACUGAGGGGGGCUGCUCCUAGUACGAGAGGACCGGAGUGGACGCAUCACUGGUGUUCGGGUUGUCAUGCCAAUGGCACUGCCCGGUAGCUAAAUGCGGAAGAGAUAAGUGCUGAAAGCAUCUAAGCACGAAACUUGCCCCGAGAUGAGUUCUCCCUGACUCCUUGAGAGUCCUGAAGGAACGUUGAAGACGACGACGUUGAUAGGCCGGGUGUGUAAGCGCAGCGAUGCGUUGAGCUAACCGGUACUAAUGAACCGUGAGGCUUAACCUUACAACGCCGAAGCUGUU